CAUGCGGAAAAAAAGCCCCGGUGAGUAGGAGGGUCGCAGCGGCGAGCGUUGAAGGUGUCGGGCGUAGGCCCGCCNGGAGCCGUCGCUGGUGCAGAUCUUGGUGGUAGUAGCAAAUACUCGAGUGAGAACCUUGAGGACUGAAGUGGAGAAGGGUUCCAUGUGGACAGCAGUUGAACAUGGGUCAGUCGGCCCUAAGGAAUAGGGGAAACCCGUUNCGAAGCGUGGGGAAAGAUGAAACAUUGAAAAGAAAAAUGAAUAGGAUCCGAAGGCAAUUCAUUUGAUUAAAAUGAGAGAGAGAAAACUCCCGAAAGACCNAAAGGGAAUCGGGUUAAUAUUCCCGAACCCGGACACGGAGAUCGGCUCCUUCGGGGCCCGUUGCGGUAACGCAAACNAACUCGGAGAAGUCGGCGGGAGUCCCNGGAAGAGUUGUCUUUUCUUUGUAAGGGACGGACUCCCUGGAAUCGGCUCGCCCGGAGAGAGGGAUGUUGUUCCCGUAAAGCACCGCAACUAUUGCGGUGUCCGGAGCACUCCCGCCGGCCCUUGAAAAUCCGAGGGAGAGAAAAUGAUUUUCGUGCCGGACCGUACCCAUAUCCGCAGC
rnacentral:rRNA from 1 species